UACGUAGGUGGCAAGCGUUGUCCGGAUUUACUGGGCGUAAAGCGCGCGCAGGUGGUGCGACGCGUCCGGUGUGAAAGCUCCCGGCUUACCUGGGAGAGGGCACUGGAGACGGUCGUGCUGGAGGGUGGCAGAGGCCGGUGGAAUUCCCGGUGUAGUGGUGAAAUGCGUAGAGAUCGGGAGGAACACCAGUGGCGAAGGCGGCCGGCUGGGCCAUACCUGACGCUGAGGCGCGAAAGCGUGGGGAGCGAACCGG
rnacentral:rRNA from 1 species